AUUGAACGCUGCGGCAGGCCUAACACAUGCAAGUCGAGCGUGAAAGCCUUCGGGUGAGUAAAGCGGCGGACGGGUGAGUAACGCGUGGGAAUCUACCUAGUAGUGGGGGACAACGUCUCGAAAGGGACGCUAAUACCGCAUACGCCCUAAGGGGGAAAGGAGGGGAUCUUCGGACCUUUCGCUAUUAGAUGAGCCCGCGUCGGAUUAGCUAGUUGGUGGGGUAAAGGCCUACCAAGGCGACGAUCCGUAGCUGGUCUGAGAGGAUGAUCAGCCACACUGGAACUGAGACACGGUCCAGACUCCUACGGGAGGCAGCAGUGGGGAAUAUUGCACAAUGGGGGCAACCCUGAUGCAGCCAUGCCGCGUGUGUGAAGAAGGCCUUAGGGUUGUAAAGCACUUUAAGUUGUGAGGAAAGGGUCACUACUAAUAUUAGUGACCUAUGACGUUAGCAACAGA
rnacentral:rRNA from 1 species